rnacentral:rRNA from 1 species
AAACAUCGCCUCUUGCCAACAAAGUAUAAGAGGUCCUGCCUGCCCUGUGACACUAUGUUUAACGGCCGCGGUAUCUUGACCGUGUGAAGGUAGCGUAAUCAUUUGUCUUUUAAAUGAAGACCCGUAUGAAUGGCCCAACGAGAGCUUAACUGUCUCACUCUCUUAGUCAAUGAAAUUGAUCUCCCCGUGCAGAAGCGAGGAUAACUACAUAAGACGAAAAGACCCUAUGGAGCUUUAGAAUCUGAAACAGCCCACAAAUAUUAUAAAUAAAUCUUGACCCCUGUUUCACAUUUCUUCGGUUGGGGCGACCACGGAGUAAAACAAAACCUCCACGAAAAAAAUACUAAAAUUUCUUGAAACCUAGAAAAACACCUCUAACUUCCAGAACAUCUGUUUAAAAACGAUCCAAUUUACCCAAUUGAUCAACGAAACAAGUUACCCUAGGGAUAACAGCGCAAUCCCCUUUUAGAGUCCACAUCGACAAGGGGGUUUACGACCUCGAUGUUGGAUCAGGACAUCCUAAUGGCGCAACAGCUAUUAAGGGUUCGUUUGUUCAACGAUUAAAGUCCUACGUGAUC